rnacentral:rRNA from 12 species
UAGUGGCGGACGGGUGAGUAACACGUGAGAAUCUACCUUUAGGAGGAGGAUAACAGCUGGAAACGGCUGCUAAUACUCCAUAUGCUGGGAAGUGAAACAGAGAAAUCUGCCUGAAGAUGAGCUCGCGCCUGAUUAGCUAGUUGGUGGGGUAAAAGCCUACCAAGGCAACGAUCAGUAGCUGGUCUGAGAGGACGACCAGCCACACUGGGACUGAGACACGGCCCAGACUCC